ACUUUAACCCAUUUAGGGGAGCUUGUCCUUUAAUUCGAUAACCCACGACAAUCUUAUUUAUCUUAGAACACUCUCAGCUUGUAUACCGUCGUCAUAAGUUAACCUUGAAAAGAAUAAAAGUUAACAAUAAAGAUUUUAAAAAAAUUUCUUACAGGUCAGAUCAAGGUGCAGCUAACAGAUAAAGACAGAGAUGAGCUACAAUUAACAACUUUUAUAUGGAAUUUUUAAAUAAAAAUAAAAAAGAAACAGGACUUAAAAGUAAUUAGUAAUAACAAAUAUUAAUAAAUAAGGUAAUAAAGUGUGC
rnacentral:rRNA from 1 species